rnacentral:tRNA from 1 species
AGCUUAGUUGGUAAAGCACUCCUCUAGCAUACAAGAGUCGUGGGUUCGAAUCCCAC